rnacentral:rRNA from 1 species
CGGUAAGAGUUCGCUAGGCGGUUUGUCGCGUUCGGUUUGUGAAAACCACGCCCCUCAACUGCUGGCUUGCAGGCGAUACUGGCAGACUUGAGCUACUGCAGGGGAGACUGGAAUUCCUGGUGUAGCGGUGAAAUGCGCAGAUAUCAGGAGGAACACCGGUGGCGAAGGCGGGUCUCUGGGCAGUAACUGACGCUGAGGAACGAAAGCGUGGGUAGCGAACAGGAUUAGAUACCCUGGUAGUCC